CUUUAAGCACAUGGUUUCCUGAUAUGUAUAAAGAAGGAACAACUGGAGAUGGCUUUUGGAGAAAACAGAAGAAAUGCUUCUCUUUAAAGUAAUGGUAUUGAUAUGUAGGCAAAGUUAAUUAUAUUCCUUGUAUAAUAUACGUGCAUGUACGCACGAGUACAAGUUUUUUGCAUAUUGUUUAAGAAAAUUAUUUAAAGGUUCAAAGCUAUUAUUUCCUAUAGAAAGUUGUAAGAUUGUUGAUUUUUUUUUUUUUUAAAAAAAAAAAAAGCAUAUGGAUGAAUAGAAUUGGGGCGUUUUGCAUACAAGAUGUAGGCAACAAAAAAUGAAUUCUUUAUCAGCUUUUAAGAUUAUUAAUUUAGUUUAGCUGAUACAAGUGAAUGUGGAAAUGUUUGAUUAAAGGAAAAUAUUUAGGAUAGUGAUAUCUCCUUUCCUUCUCGCCUCUUUCUUUUCUUUCAUUUCUAGGGUUUAGCCGUCGCAACUGCCGCUGAGUCGGCCUAAGUCCAUCUUUCCCUUAGGCCAGUCGUGGGUUUCUCUUCCCAUGACUGGAUUGGGAUAUAAAUAUUUUUUUAUUUGUGUUCUUUGCAGCUGGAUCUAUUUGAAUGAGGGUUUAAGAUAGUUGCAUGUGGUUUUUUUUUUCGGUGGUUUUUGUGUGGUUGCAGGAGAUCUGAGGAGGUUAGAUCGUGUUUUUCUCCUUGACUGUUUCAGGCGACGUGGCAAAGGAAGCUACGGCCAGCGGCAUCUUGCUGGCAAGAGUUAAAGACCAGUAAAGAGCAAGUGAGACGCCGAAGAGCUCUGCCACCUCCGCCGACGUUGUCUUGCCUUGCUGAUCUGUUGUUCCUCCUCCAUAGUUACGACUCAAAGUCUUUGAGUCUCAGCCACAGGAAAGUUGAAGACCGAGAUCCAUAUGUACUCGUGCUUUUCUUGUGCUUUUUUGUUUGGUUAUAGAGAUCUCCAUAUCUCCUUCUUCUUAGGCUUGCCGGUGUACAUCCGAAGGCAGCAUUUUCCAACCAGUCCAAACAACGACGCUUCUUGCAGUGUUUUGCGGAUCCUUCCUUGCUUUUGAGUCUGGGGUGUCGUGUCAUUCACCUUAGCCUAAUUUUCAGUGUUUGCUUUUAGGUCUUGAACUUUUAUGUGUCAUAUAAUUAGGCCAGUAGGCUUCUCCUAUAUCAAUAGAUUGCUCUUACUUUUAUAAAAAAAGGAAAAUAUUUGCUUGAAAUUGGCAAACCAUGUACUGUAGAUAUAAAAAUAAAUAAGUGAGUUUCUUUAUGAAAAAAUACUAUUUACUUUAAUAUUUUUUGAG
rnacentral:lncRNA from 1 species